AUCUGCAUCUGGUAUUGGUAGUAAGGAGAAGUCUUAAAUGGGUGACCUUUUCCAUACAGCGUGAUGGCUUUUUUGGUGAACUGAUUCUUCCUGUCUGGUCAGGGCUAAUUACUAUAGAAAAAGCAAACAG